UACAGAGGAUGCAAGCGUUGUUCGGAAUCAUUGGGCGUAAAGCGCGUGUAGGCGGCUUGGCAAGUCGGAUGUGAAAGCCCUCGGCUCAACCGAGGAAGUGCGUUCGAAACUGCUAAGCUUGAGUGUCAGAGGGGGUAGCGGAAUUCCCCAAGUAGAGGUGAAAUUCGUAGAUAUGGGGAGGAACACCAGUGGCGAAGGCGGCUACCUGGAUGAUAACUGACGCUGAGACGCGAAAGCGUGGGUAGCAAACAGG
rnacentral:rRNA from 1 species